rnacentral:rRNA from 1 species
UACGGAGGAUCCGAGCGUUAUCCGGAUUUAUUGGGUUUAAAGGGUGCGUAGGUGGAUUGGUAAGUCAGUGGUGAAAGUUUGCAGCUUAACUGUAAAAUUAGCCGUUGAAACUAGCCGGUCUUGAGUGCAAAUGAGGUAGGCGGAAUGCGUCGUGUAGCGGUGAAAUGCUUAGAUAUGACGCAGUACUCCGAUUGCGAAGGCAGCUUACUGGGAUGCAACUGACGCUGAGGCACGAAAGCGUGGGUAUCAAACAGGAUUAGAUA